rnacentral:rRNA from 1 species
CCUACGGGCGGCAGCAGUGAGGAAUAUUGGUCAAUGGGCGUGAGCCUGAACCAGCCAAGUCGCGUGAGGGAUGAAGGUUCUAUGGGUCGUAAACCUCUUUUAUCAGGGAGUAAAGUGUGGGACGUGUCAUAUUUUGUGUGUACCUUAUGAAUAAGGAUCGGCUAACUCCGUGCCAGCAGCCGCGGUAAUACGGAGGAUCCGAGCGUUAUCCGGAUUUAUUGGGUUUAAAGGGUGCGUAGGCGGCGUUUUAAGUCAGCGGUGAAAGUCUGUGGCUCAACCAUAGAAUUGCCGUUGAAACUGGGGGGCUUGAGUAUGUUUGAGGCAGGCGGAAUGCGUGGUGUAGCGGUGAAAUGCUUAGAUAUCACGCAGAACCCCGAUUGCGAAGGCAGCAUGCCAGGCCAUGACUGACGCUGAUGCACGAAAGCGUGGGGAUCAAACAGGAUUAGAUACCCGGGUAGUC